GAGAGUUCCGAAAAUCAACUUCCGUUGAUCCUGAUCAUAACAACGUUUGUUUUCAUGGAAAAAAUAUGGCGACUAAGAAACACUUAAUGUCAACAAGAUUUUCUGAUUGAAAAGAGAAAAGGUCAAACAGGAACUUCAAUUGUGAACAUUGCAGAGAACACACUCAUCAGAAGAUGACCCUCAGAAAUAGGAGAAUUAAUGAAUAAAAUGGACAGAGGCAGAACAGAAGGAGAUGCAUGAAAUGGGGAAUAUUUCAAAGAUUGCCUGAGCAUAACCACUGCUACUGGAUAAACAUAUGGCAAUA